rnacentral:rRNA from 1 species
UGGGGAAUCUUGCACAAUGGGGGAAACCCUGAUGCAGCGACGCCGCGUGAGCGAUGAAGGUUUUCGAAUCGUAAAGCUCUGUCCUAUGGGAAGAUAAUGACGGUACCAUAGGAGGAAGCCCCGGCUAACUACGUGCCAGCAGCCGCGGUAAUACGUAGGGGGCGAGCGUUGUCCGGAAUUACUGGGCGUAAAGGGUUCGCAGGCGGCAUGACAAGUCCGAUGUAAAAGGCGAAAGCUCAACUUUCGUAAGCAUCGGAAACUGUCAAGCUUGAGUGAAGGAGAGGAAAGUGGAAUACCUAGUGUAGCGGAGGAAUGCGUAGAUAUUAGGAGGAAUACCGGUGGCGAAGGCGACUUGCUGGACUUCAACUGACGCUGAGGAACGAAAGCGUGGGUAGCAAACAGG